rnacentral:lncRNA from 1 species
GAUUUUGAGACUGACAACUUAUGCAAUACCGAGUUCUCAGUCAUUGCUUGCUAGGUGGCAUUUGCCUCUUGGAGCAGUGGUUCAUCCUCUAGCAGAAGUUCCUGAUGGGGAGGAAGUACCAAUUGUCAAUUUUGGACCAGCUGGCAUUAUUCGGUGUCGAAGAUGUCGAACAUAUGUGAAUCCAUACGUGACUUUCACGGAUGCAGGAAGGAAGUGGCGUUGCAACAUCUGUUCUCUGCUCAAUGAUGUUUCUGGGGAGUAUUAUUGUGCUUUGGAUGCUAGUGGCAGAAGAUGUGAUGUAGAUCAACGACCUGAGCUUUCUAAGGGAAGUGUGGAAUUUGUUGCUCCUACUGAAUAUAUGGUGCGACCACCAAUGCCACCACUAUAUUUUUCCUUAUUGAUGUAUCGGUAUCUGCAGUUCGGUCUGGUUUUCUUGAGGUUGUGGCAACGACCAUUAAGUCCUGUCUUGAUGAACUCCUGCCUGAUGAUCAUUGGUGGUUGCCACCCAUUACUUGGGAUAUUCGGGCUAUAGUAGGUGGAGACGUUGCCUUCCAAGCCAAGCAUGUUUAUAGAGAGGCCAAUGAAGCUGCAGAUUGGGUAGCCUCGUAUGUGGCCGACUACUCUAGGAGAGCUCUCUGGGUUGAUGAGAGAGAGCUGCCUAGAGCGCUUCGAGAUUUGUUAUUUUUCAACUUUUUUCGAUGUAUUCACACUAGAAGUAUAUGAGUCAUCCGUUGUAGCCAAAAAAAAGAACAUAUUCAACAUUCACCAUCAUCCCUUAUCCGUCUUUUUUCAGAUCAAAGUUCUGUGCAAGGUCUGCUUGAUUGGUAUUGAGGCUCGUACUAGCUGGCAACCAGUUUGAUAUGGUACUGAGUCUGUAUUAUACUAUGUUGGGAAGUACAAAACAGGGAGAGGGAGGAGAGGGAGAAGGAGUGGGUUGGGGGGAGAUGAGGGAGGGAGGGAGGGAGGAAGGGGGGAGAGAGAGGGGGAAGUUUACCAACUGACAACAUCAUGACAUCAAAGAAGGGAGCAAUGAACAUCUGGUGAAGAGAGAGUGGGUGGGGGAAGAGGGGGGAGGCCUAGCAAUGACGGUAUGACGGUGUCGAAGAGGGGGGAUUCAGUAUGGGCCGAAUCAUCCAAUUUGGGUCGGUUCAACAAUCGUUGAUUAUGUGUUUGUGCUUCCAUUCCAAAUCCCAUCCACAAUUUGAGCAUUCUAAAGAACAUAUUGUGUAUUUAGAGAGAGAGAGUACUAACUUAAAACACUUAAGAGGAAGAUAUCUGUAGAAAAUGAAUAAAUGGUGGAAUGUGAAGUUACAUAAGUGACAUCUAGGGUGGAGGUUGGUGGAUUGAGUUAAUGUGUUUAAUUCUUUCAAUUAUCUAUUAUUUAGUUAUAUUUUGUAGGAUUAACAUAGUUACUUGUAAUGUAGAAGGGGAAUUUAUUGUAAAGAUUGCAUAAAGCAAUUGCAGGAAUAAACUUUAGAGAUCUUAUAUAGUUUGGUCUUAUGUAUUAACUAAUAGAGCUAUAUAAAUUUAACUUGUCAACCAGUUGCAAAAGUUGUGGAAAUGUUACUAUAAUCUUAUCCAAAUUUCAAGAGUUUUCUUUUAAGAAGGAACAGGAUGUAACAACUUAGAUAGAAAUAGCUAUGAUAAACAGUCAUUGUAAAAUUGGUAUUUUCUUUCUACUAUAUUUGUUUGUAUACUGGUGGGAGAGCGGGACGUCCCGCCAUCUUGAGUGUUGGGAUGGGCACCGUCUCGAGUGUGGGGAUGGGGUACCAUCUCAAGUGUCGGGAUGGAACAAGUCUGGAAAUGGACCAUGCCGGGAUUGGACCAUGUUCUAGUAAGUCUGAGUUUGAUACAAAGAGGUGAAUCAAACUAAUAAUUUGCCAGCACAAAGAUCUUAUUUUUCUGCAUCCACAUACCAAGAAUAUAUGCGAAAACUUUCUUUAAGAACAUGAGAUAUAUGUGUGAUAUAAUCCUUAAUAUUGUAUCAGAUGCAACUAAAAUUUGAAAUUGGCAUGGCUUCCUUAAUCCUAGCAAUGACUAUAUUUGUUUAUAGUUAAAUGUGCAUCUGUAAAUGUUUCGAGAGGAAGCACAAGCCCUGCCCUUGAUGUCUUUCACACACACCAAGAAUACCUUUUCACCAUGAUAUCUCAUAACCCCUCGACUGCUGGAAUGGCCCAGAUUACCAAAAGAAUUUACUGUUGGAGUUCGACCUGAAGGCAGCGUUUCGUGGGAAUGGUAGCUGCCUGCCUGCCUGACACAUCUUAAUUGUCUUAGAGAUGAAAUAUCAUUUUCCACUUAAGAGUAAGAAAAUAUCUGCAAACUAGUUUGGUUUGUCGCACUAUUGCUUUUAGUAUGGGAGAUUUGAGAGGAUAUUAAGAUGCUGUUGAUUGUUUCUGAAUCUAAACUACUUUAGGUGUGCAUGUGGAUCAUCUGACAUAUAAUUUUGAUUGGUAAAGUAAUAUGCGUCGGAAGAUAUUUUUGUCAAAAAUGAUCCCUGAAUGGUGGCUGAAUUUUGUUAGGGGUCCCUUAUUGAGCAUUCAUCAAAGAGUUGAGAUCAGAUGAUGCAUAUAUUGUGAAAAUCUCAUGUUUCGUUUUAUCAUGGAUUAUUCGGCCUUACAAUUAGCGAUUCAAUAACAAUUGUAUGGAAUCUCCUUUCUCACCUUUCAUUCCUGAUUAGUCAUACAUGUUAUUCAUGGUGUUGAAAGUACAGUGCAAUCAUAUCUUGUAGUUUUUCUAUUGGAUUCAUCUACUAAUUUACCUGGGGGUGAUAAUUGAUGGAAAUGCAAGUGCACAGAGUUUCAUCCUGAAAUUAAUUUGACAUCUUCCCUAUUUAUUCACUAUAUAUUUAUUUCAUAUAAGAUGGUUAAUUUAUUGAUAUAUUGUAAAAGUAUUACAUUUGAUGCACUCAGAUAUUUUAUGUUAAUCACACUGCAUAUAUGUUAAGCUUUAAAUGUUUAUGUUGUGAUGUAUCAGGUUAUUCCUGCCAUAAGCUGAAUACUAUCAAUAAAUAUGCAGCCCAUGGGGAAUGAUAAGCCAACAAAUGUUCCUGGAAGACCUGUGUCACCCUUUCGAGCAGCCCCACAGUCUUCGACACCUUUCAUAUCUUCAGGUCCUGUUGUCGGCUUGGAGGCAUCUGGUGCUUCUCGAGCCACAACCCCCUUUUUAUCUUCAGGGCCUGGGACCAUCUUGGGGGCAUCAGGCACUCCGCAAACCACAGUACCAUUUUUAUCUACUGGCACUCAGAUGUCCAAUUAUAGAUCACCACCACCACCCCCAGUUAGGUAUAAUGGUCCGUCCAGUCCACCCCCACCAACAUCUUACCCCGCCCAAGAUGCAACUACGUAUCAGCAAACACAAGCUCCUAGGUUUCCUCCUCCUGGUCAACCUGUAACGCCCUUCCGGGGUCCCGUGGGUUCUUCUGGUCCAUCCCCUAGUGGAUCUUUUCGUCCUCAGCCCCAGAUUCCCUCAGUGCCAAUGGGCCCUCCACCCCAAACUGCAACCCAAAUGUCAUCUAGAAGUAAUAUGCCCCCACCACUGUCAGAGUCAUCAUUCUCUGCAACCAGACCACCUCCUCAGCCAUCUUUGCAAGGAUAUUCCUAUGGUCUCCCGAGAGGUAACAUGCCCCCCGCUUCUGCAGAGCCGCAGUUGCCUGCUCCUAGAUCAGUUUCGCAACCGCCAUUGCAGCAGGCUUUUCCAUCUUCUCAUGUUCCUCCAGUUCAUGCUUCUUAUCAUGCUCACCAAGGAGGUGUUGUACCACCACCACCACCCUGGGAGAUCUCUAUGCUGUUGGACCGAUAGCCGGCCGAUCUCCCGCAUCUCCGUCGGGCCCUAAUCAUAAUCCAGGAUGCAGAUCUCCGACCUUUCUUUCAAGUCCGAACCCUAAAUCCAGUUGGCGGUUGCCCAUCUCUGCUUCAUGCCCUGGCAUACUGAAUUCUUCUUCAAGCGCUAACCCACUCCAACUGUGAUCUCUGAUGCAGGAAGGAAGUGGCGUUGCAACAUCUGUUCUCUGCUCAAUGAUGUUCCUGGGGAAUAUUAUUGUGCUUUGGAUGCUAGUGGCAGAAGAUGUGAUUUUGAUCAAAGACCUGAGCUUUCUAAGGGAAGUGUGGAAUUUGUUGCUCCUACUGAAUAUAUGGUGCGGCCACCCAUGCCACCAGUAUAUUUUUUCCUUAUUGAUGUGUCAAUAUCUGCAGUUCAGUGUGGGUUGCUUGAGAUUGUGGCAAAGACCAUAAAGUCUUGUCUUGAUGAGCUACCUGGCUUCCCUAGGACACAGAUUGGCUUCUUAACUUUCGAUAGUGCAUUGCAUUUCCAUAAUUUAAAGCUUGACACAGCCUCAAAUGCUGGUGGUAGCAGAUCUGGAUGAUAUACCAUUGCCUGAUGAUCUUCUUGUCAAUUUAUCCGAUUCUAGACAUGUUGUGGAUGCAUUACUGGAUAGCUUGCCUAGCAUGUUUCAAGACAAUGUAAAUGUAGAAUCUGCCCUGCCUCACCAGGGAAACCGCCUGGGAAUCUGUGAUGCGCGUUAGAUGUGGAAAAGGGGUGCGUUUUACAACGUAUCAUGGCCAUUUUAUGCUGAGAUCAACAGAUUUAUUAGCCCUUCCAGCUGUGGAUUGUGAUAAAGCCUUUGCAAUGCAAUUAUCUUUGGAAGACACCUUGAUGACAACCAGACUGUAUACAAGUUGCUGCUAUAUACUUCCUCUUCAGGUGAAAGACGAAUUAGAGUCCAUACAGCAGCUGCACAUGUAGUAGCGAUCUUGGGGAAAUGUACCGCCAGGCGAUACUGGGCCAUUAUCUUGUUUUAAGCAGGCUUGCCUUGAAAACACACUGUCUCAUAAGCUGGAAGAUGCUCGCCAGUUAAUGCAGCUAAAGCUUGUGAAAAGCCUUAAAGAGUACCGGAAUCUCCAUGUUGUGCAGCAUCGGUUGGGUGGGAGGCUGAUAUUUCCAGAAUCCUUGAGAUUCUUGCCAUUAUAUGUAUUGUCUCUUUGCAAGUCUUUAGCUCUUCGUGGAGGUUAUGCUGAUGUUCCUCUCGAUGAACGCUGUGCGGCUGGUUACAAUAUGAUGAUAUUACCUAUAAGAAGGAUGCUUAAACUUCUCUAUCCUGGUUUAUAUAGGAUAGAUGAGAACCUCAUAAAGGGUCCCGAGGAAUUUAAUGAGUCAUCUAAGCAGUUAGCCUUGAGUGCACAAAGCUUAGAUCCCAGAGCGCUGUAUAUUUAUGAUGAUGGAUUCAGCUUCAUUGUUUGGUUAGGCAGGAUGCUGUCACCUGAUAUAGUUAAUAAUACACUUGGAGUUGACUUAUCUGGAUUCCCUGAUCUAUCCAGGCUUGCAUUGCUUGAACAUGACAAUGAGUAUUCAAGAAAACUGAUGAGGAUAAUAAGAAGAUUGAGGGAGAAGGAUCCGUCCUGUUUUCAAUUAUGCCGUGUGGUGAGGCAAGGUGAACAGCCAAGAGAAGGUUCCUUGCUGCUUUCCAACCUCUUCGAGGAUCAGGCUGCUGGAACCAGUGGUUACGUUGAUUGGAUUCUCCAAAUAUACCGCCAAUUGCAGAGUUCAUGAAGAGGGUAACACAACUUCAGUCCUCUACCUUAUGGUGUCCCACUGGUCCUCAUUUUGUGUCACAAAGCAGAAUAGGUAUUCAGUUCAGAGCUCUGAGGCUUUUCAUGUUCUGAAGGAACCACUGAGCCUGAAUCAAGAGGUGACCAGCAAUCAAGUUGCACUAUUUGGUUUGCAUUCCAUUUGUAAUAUGAUAUGCUGCUAGUUUUAUUCUUUAUAUUAUAUUUAUUUGCUUAACUUUUUGUUCUUUGAUUGUGGUAAGUAAAUUUCUUCUCGUAUCACAAUAAGAAUAUUCCUAGUGCUUCAUGAAGUUGUUUUUCUGUUCAUUGUAGGUUAUACAGCUGCUGGAAUGAGAAACAAGGGAUUAAAUAUAUUCACUUUUUUUGACUAAGAUGCAGGAAGGAAGUGGCGUUGCAACAUCUGUUCUCUGCUCAAUGAUGUUUCUGGGGAGUAUUAUUGUGCUUUGGAUGCUAGUGGCAGAAGAUGUGAUGUAGAUCAACGACCUGAGCUUUCUAAGGGAAGUGUGGAAUUUGUUGCUCCUACUGAAUAUAUGGUGCGACCACCAAUGCCACCACUAUAUUUUUCCUUAUUGAUGUAUCGGUAUCUGCAGUUCGGUCUGGUUUUCUUGAGGUUGUGGCAACGACCAUUAAGUCCUGUCUUGAUGAACU